CGGUCUUUUAAGUCUGUUGUAAAAGCCUUCCACUUAACCGUGGUCGUGCAUUGGAAACUGGGAGACUUGAGUGCAGAAGAGGAGAGUGGAACUCCAUGUGUAGCGGUGAAAUGCGUAGAUAUAUGGAAGAACACCAGUGGCGAAAGCGGCUCUCUGGUCUGUAACUGACGCUGAGGUUCGAAAGCGUGGGUAGCAAAC
rnacentral:rRNA from 1 species